UCCCUGGUGGUCUAGUGGUUAGGACUUGGACUUUAACCCCUGCAGCCUGGAUUCAAUCCCUAGCCUGGGAA
rnacentral:tRNA from 1 species